rnacentral:rRNA from 1 species
GACACGUGGUAUCCUGUCUGAAUAUGGGGGGACCAUCCUCCAAGGCUAAAUACUCCUGACUGACCGAUAGUGAACCAGUACCGUGAGGGAAAGGCGAAAAGAACCCCGGCGAGGGGAGUGAAAAAGAACCUGAAACCGUGUACGUACAAGCAGUGGGAGCACGCUUAGGCGUGUGACUGCGUACCUUUUGUAUAAUGGGUCAGCGACUUAUAUUCUGUAGCAAGGUUAACCGAAUAGGGGAGCCGAAGGGAAACCGAGUCUUAACUGGGCGUUAAGUUGCAGGGUAUAGACCCGAAACCCGGUGAUCUAGCCAUGGGCAGGUUGAAGGUUGGGUAACACUAACUGGAGGACCGAACCGACUAAUGUUGAAAAAUUAGCGGAUGACUUGUGGCUGGGGGUGAAAGGCCAAUCAAACCGGGAGAUAGCUGGUUCUCCCCGAAAGCUAUUUAGGUAGCGCCUCGUGAAUUCAUCUCCGGGGGUAGAGCACUGUUUCGGCAAGGGGGUCAUCCCGACUUACCAACCCGAUGCAAACUGCGAAUACCGGAGAAUGUUAUCACGGGAGACACACGGCGGGUGCUAACGUCCGUCGUGAAGAGGGAAACAACCCAGACCGCCAGCUAAGGUCCCAAAGUCAUGGUUAAGUGGGAAACGAUGUGGGAAGGCCCAGACAGCCAGGAUGUUGGCUUAGAAGCAGCCAUCAUUUAAAGAAAGCGUAAUAGCUCACUGGUCGAGUCGGCCUGCGCGGAAGAUGUAACGGGGCUAAACCAUGCACCGAAGCUGCGGCAGCGACGCUUAUGCGUUGUUGGGUAGGGGAGCGUUCUGUAAGCCUGUGAAGGUGUGCUGUGAGGUAUGCUGGAGGUAUCAGAAGUGCGAAUGCUGACAUAAGUAACGAUAAAGCGGGUGAAAAGCCCGCUCGCCGGAAGACCAAGGGUUCCUGUCCAACGUUAAUCGGGGCAGGGUGAGUCGACCCCUAAGGCGAGGCCGAAAGGCGUAGUCGAUGGGAAACAGGUUAAUAUUCCUGUACUUGGUGUUACUGCGAAGGGGGGACGGAGAAGGCUAUGUUGGCCGGGCGACGGUUGUCCCGGUUUAAGCGUGUAGGCUGGUUUUCCAGGCAAAUCCGGAAAAUCAAGGCCGAGGCGUGAUGACGAGGCACUACGGUGCUGAAGCAACAAAUGCCCUGCUUCCAGGAAAAGCCUCUAAGCAUCAGGUAACAUCAAAUCGUACCCCAAACCGACACAGGUGGUCAGGUAGAGAAUACCAAGGCGCUUGAGAGAACUCGGGUGAAGGAACUAGGCAAAAUGGUGCCGUAACUUCGGGAGAAGGCACGCUGAUACGUAGGUGAAGCGACUUGCUCGUGGAGCUGAAAUCAGUCGAAGAUACCAGCUGGCUGCAACUGUUUAUUAAAAACACAGCACUGUGCAAACACGAAAGUGGACGUAUACGGUGUGACGCCUGCCCGGUGCCGGAAGGUUAAUUGAUGGGGUUAGCGCAAGCGAAGCUCUUGAUCGAAGCCCCGGUAAACGGCGGCCGUAACUAUAACGGUCCUAAGGUAGCGAAAUUCCUUGUCGGGUAAGUUCCGACCUGCACGAAUGGCGUAAUGAUGGCCAGGCUGUCUCCACCCGAGACUCAGUGAAAUUGAACUCGCUGUGAAGAUGCAGUGUACCCGCGGCAAGACGGAAAGACCCCGUGAACCUUUACUAUAGCUUGACACUGAACAUUGAGCCUUGAUGUGUAGGAUAGGUGGGAGGCUUUGAAGUGUGGACGCCAGUCUGCAUGGAGCCGACCUUGAAAUACCACCCUUUAAUGUUUGAUGUUCUAACGUGGACCCGUGAUCCGGGUUGCGGACAGUGUCUGGUGGGUAGUUUGACUGGGGCGGUCUCCUCCUAAAGAGUAACGGAGGAGCACGAAGGUUGGCUAAUCCUGGUCGGACAUCAGGAGGUUAGUGCAAUGGCAUAAGCCAGCUUGACUGCGAGCGUGACGGCGCGAGCAGGUGCGAAAGCAGGUCAUAGUGAUCCGGUGGUUCUGAAUGGAAGGGCCAUCGCUCAACGGAUAAAAGGUACUCCGGGGAUAACAGGCUGAUACCGCCCAAGAGUUCAUAUCGACGGCGGUGUUUGGCACCUCGAUGUCGGCUCAUCACAUCCUGGGGCUGAAGUAGGUCCCAAGGGUAUGGCUGUUCGCCAUUUAAAGUGGUACGCGAGCUGGGUUUAGAACGUCGUGAGACAGUUCGGUCCCUAUCUGCCGUGGGCGCUGGAGAACUGAGGGGGGCUGCUCCUAGUACGAGAGGACCGGAGUGGACGCAUCACUGGUGUUCGGGUUGUCAUGCCAAUGGCACUGCCCGGUAGCUAAAUGCGGAAGAGAUAAGUGCUGAAAGCAUCUAAGCACGAAACUUGCCCCGAGAUGAGUUCUCCCUGACCCUUUAAGGGUCCUGAAGGAACGUUGAAGACGACGACGUUGAUAGGCCGGGUGUGUAAGCGCAGCGAUGCGUUGAGCUAACCGGUACUAAUGAACCGUGAGGCUUAACCUU